rnacentral:rRNA from 1 species
GAUGAACGCUGGCGGCGUGCCUAAUACAUGCAGGUCGAGCGAACAGACGAGGAGCUUGCUCCUCUGACGUUAGCGGCGGACGGGUGAGUAACACGUGGAUAACCUACCUAUAAGACUGGGAUAACUUCGGGAAACCGGAGCUAAUACCGGAUAAUAUAUUGAACCGCAUGGUUCAAUAGUGAAAGACGGUUUUGCUGUCACUUAUAGAUGGAUCCGCGCCGCAUUAGCUAGUUGGUAAGGUAACGGCUUACCAAGGCAACGAUGCGUAGCCGACCUGAGAGGGUGAUCGGCCACGCUGGAACUGAGACACGGUCCAGACUCCUACGGGAGGCAGCAGUAGGGAAUCUUCCGCAAUGGGCGAAAGCCUGACGGAGCAACGCCGCGUGAGUGAUGAAGGUCUUCGGAUCGUAAAACUCUGUUAUUAGGGAAGAACAAAUGUGUAAGUAACUAUGCACGUCUUGACGGUACCUAAUCAGAAAGCCACGGCUAACUACGUG